ACGAACGCUGGCGGCGUGCUUCACACAUGCAAGUCGAACGGAAAGGCCCUGCUUUUGUGGGGUGCUCGAGUGGCGAACGGGUGAGUAACACGUGAGUAACCUGCCCUUGACUUUGGGAUAACUUCAGGAAACUGGGGCUAAUACCGGAUAGGAGCUCCUGCUGCAUGGUGGGGGUUGGAAAGUUUCGGCGGUUGGGGAUGGACUCGCGGCUUAUCAGCUUGUUGGUGGGGUAGUGGCUUACCAAGGCUUUGACGGGUAGCCGGCCUGAGAGGGUGACCGGCCACAUUGGGACUGAGAUACGGCCCAGACUCCUACGGGAGGCAGCAGUGGGGAAUAUUGCACAAUGGGCGGAAGCCUGAUGCAGCAACGCCGCGUGCGGGAUGACGGCCUUCGGGUUGUAAACCGCUUUCGCCUGUGACGAAGCGUGAGUGACGGUAAUGGGCAAAGAAGCACCGGCUAACUACGUG
rnacentral:rRNA from 1 species